rnacentral:rRNA from 1 species
CCUACGGGUGGCAGCAGUGAGGAAUAUUGGUCAAUGGUCGGGAGACUGAACCAGCCAAGCCGCGUGAGGGAUGAAGGUACAGAGUAUCGUAAACCUCUUUUGUCAGGGAACAAAGGCGGGGACGUGUCCCCGGAUGAGUGUACCUGAAGAAAAAGCAUCGGCUAACUCCGUGCCAGCAGCCGCGGUAAUACGGAGGAUUCGAGCGUUAUCCCGAUUUAUUGGGUUUAAAGGGUGCGCAGGCGGUCUGUUAAGUCAGGGGUCAAAGGGCGGGGCUCAACCCCGGCCUCCCAGUUGAAACUGGCAGUCUCGAGUAGGAGUGAGGUAUGCGGAAUGCGCGGUGUAGCGGGGAAAUGCAUAGAUAUCGCGCAGAACUCCGAUUGCGAAGGCAGCAUGCCAGCUCCACACUGACGCUGAGGCACGAAAGCGUGGGUAUCGAACAGGAUUAGAUACCCCGGUAGUC